UAGGGAAUAUUGGUCAAUGGGCGCAAGCCUGAACCAGCCACGCCGCGUGCAGGAGGAAGGCCCUCUGGGUUGUAAACUGCUUUUGCAAGGGAAGAAACACGCAUUUUGGUGCGCUUGACGGUACCUUGCGAAUAAGGAUCGGCUAACUCCGUGCCAGCAGCCGCGGUAAUACGGAGGAUCCGAGCGUUGUCCGGAUUUAUUGGGUUUAAAGGGUGCGUAGGCGGGCCGUUGCGUCCGCGGUGAAAGGCCAGGGCUUAACCCUGGAGCUGCCGCGGAUACGGGCGGUCUUGAGUACAGAUGAGGUGGGCGGAAUGUGCCGUGUAGCGGUGAAAUGCUUAGAUACGGUACAGAACGCCGAUUGCGAAGGCAGCUCACCAAGGUGUAACUGACGCUGAGGCACGAAAGCGUGGGGAUCAAACAG
rnacentral:rRNA from 1 species